AUUGAACGCUGGCGGCAUGCCUUACACAUGCAAGUCGAACGGCAGCAUGAUCUAGCUUGCUAGAUUGAUGGCGAGUGGCGAACGGGUGAGUAAUACAUCGGAACGUGCCCUGUAGUGGGGGAUAACUAGUCGAAAGAUUAGCUAAUACCGCAUACGACCUGAGGUUGAAAGUGGGGGACCGCAAGGCCUCAUGCUAUAGGAGCGGCCGAUGUCUGAUUAGCUAGUUGGUGAGGUAAAGGCUCACCAAGGCGACGAUCAGUAGCUGGUCUGAGAGGACGAUCAGCCACACUGGGACUGAGACACGGCCCAGACUCCUACGGGAGGCAGCAGUGGGGAAUUUUGGACAAUGGGCGAAAGCCUGAUCCAGCAAUGCCGCGUGUGUGAAGAAGGCCUUCGGGUUGUAAAGCACUUUUGUCCGGAAAGAAAUGGCUCUGGUUAAUACCUGGGGUCGAUGACGGUACCGGAAGAAUAAGGACCGGCUAACUACGUG
rnacentral:rRNA from 1 species